CUGUACAUCGUAUGCCCCUCGCCAAUAACUUGGAAAAUAAUUAUCUUUUUCGUACUAGGUUUUUUUUAGCAAUACAGUCACGGUCCGCAGAUGGAAAGCAACUGUAUACAAAGUUAGCAAUUAAGUCUCCUUCUGGAGAUUGAGAUGUUGACAGGUUACAUAGGCCCACGACCCAAACACGGAUUUUUUUUCCAAAUUUAUUUUUUUAGUAAUAUCCGACAGGCCUUUAGAAACAGCACCCAUUGACAAGCUCCAGAACUUAGUCAAUGUAAGUGAUUUAUAGAUUUCGCACCUAAAAAUGUUCCACGGGGGAAGAAGUGAAAAGACAUGAUUAACAGGUGACUGGGGCAUGGACUUGAGGAUCUAGAAGAAAGAAUCGCUAAGUCACUCUACAUUACAGACUGCUAUGGCUGGUCAAACGGAACCAAGUCCGUCUUCCCUAGAGGUUUGGUCCCCUUCAACCAGCUAUUGCAGAACUGACCCCAUCAUCACCUUCCGGAAGAUACUGCCGAGACAGAUAAUGUGACAGCCCAACAUAAUAUCGCUCAUGUUCAACAGGACUUCCGGCUGCCCCUUCUGGCAUUCAUUAAAAAAGCCUAGUAUUCUA